CGCUGGCGAGAUGCCUUAUACAUGCAAGUCGUACGAGAAUUUUUAAUUCAAGUGGCGGACGGGUGAGUAACACGUAAGAAUUUGCCUUUAGGAGGGGGACAACAACUGGAAACGGUUGCUAAUACCCCAUAUGCUUCCGAGUGAAAUGGAUUUUUCCGCCUAGAGAGAAGCUUGCGGCUGAUUAGCUUGUUGGUGAGGUAAUGGCUUACCAAGGCGACGAUCAGUAUCUGGUUUGAGAGGACGAUCAGACACACUGGAACUGAGACACGGUCCAGACUCCUACGGGAGGCAGCAGUAGGGAAUUUUCCGCAAUGGGCGAAAGCCUGACGGAGCAAUCUCGCGUGAGGGAUGACGGCCUAUGGGUUGUAAACCUCUUUUUUCAGGGAGGAAUAAAUGACGUGUACCUGAAGAAUAAGCAUCGGCUAACUCCGUGCCAGCAGCCGCGGUAAGACGGAGGAUGCAAGUGUUAUCCGGAAUCACUGGGCGUAAAGCGUCUGUAGGUGGUUUAAUAAGUCAACUGUUAAAUCUUGAA
rnacentral:rRNA from 1 species